UUUGACUUCCUACAGCAGUGAUCUGUGAUCUACGGACACACCCCAGUGUAAGACAAUUUUUGGCUGGUGACAUGGUGUGCUGCCUGACCUGGAGAAAGUGGGACCCAGAGGUAAACCCAGAAGCAUGUCUCCUGGAUGACUCAACAUUGACGAUGAAGAAGAACCAUCAUUCUGUGUGUAUCUAGGAAUGAAAGAUCUGGAGAAGACGGGAGCCACCAAAGCAUGGAGGGCAUCGGACUCUCCAGCAAGCUUAAGGGACACGCAGGAAUAAGAAACACAUUGUGGAAAGAUGACUUAACAGCAAUCCUCUCUGACUUGUUGGGAAGGAAGUCAGAGUGGGACACAGACACUCAGCCAUAAAAUAAAGCCUAAUGUCAUA